GCUGCUCAGUGGUUGAGCGUCAGCCUAUGAAUCAGGAGAUCUGGGUUCGAGUCCCAGUCAGGGCA
rfam:Myotis lucifugus cont2.66231, whole genome shotgun sequence.